UACAAAGAGUCAGCAGGUACAGACGAAGUUUUAGCGGAGGCGAUGGCAAUAGUUAUCAGCAGCCAGUCAGUUACAGAUGCAUUACGACAGAGACGUUGUUAUCUACGUCUCUGAUUGCGAACACAGAAUUAAACAACAUUGGUCAUAAUCUUACAUACAAGAGAUCGGCAGAGCAGGAAGAAGCCAUGUUGAUGCCCUGGCCAUUCUCUUCUUUAACAAGUCAGUCAUUGCAUCUGCGCAUAUGACCAGAGAAAAGAAGGACUAUUGUGGAAACUCAACUAUCUGCCAAGAACUUUAGUUAACCAGUAUUUUGGUUUUGAAACUAAGGAAGUCUAACAGUUUUCAAUUUGUUGUGAUUUGUGUAAUAAUGAAGUGGGGAUAGAAUAUGAUUUUAGUAAACUGUCACCUAACUAAAAGCAUACAUAUUAUUAUUACAAGAUUCCUUGAUUUAUUGAAUUUUCACAUCUUUUUAGGAAAGUCUAUCCUCGAAUAUUUUCAAUAUCUUAAAUAUAUUUGAUUGGAUUGAUUUAUUUAUCAUUUAUGUUUGAUGAAAAUGUAUAUUCUUUGUGGAAUUAAUGCAUAUGUUAGUGUGAGUGUGUGUGUUUCUGAGGAUAGUGCGUAUGGGUGAAAAUGUGUGAGAAUGGUACGGGAGUUGCGUGAUUUAUGUUUAUAAAUUAACAUUUGUUUGUAAAGAUAUACCAUGUAGUAUAAGUGCAUACUUGCAUACUUCUUUACCAACAUGACCCCAACCUAUAAACAAGAGCAGACAACUCUAUCAAACAUUUUGUAAUAAUUAUGGCCCUUUCCCACUUAGAAUAUGCAUAUUAUUGAUAAAUCUAUGUUAAAGUUUGCAUACAACCCCAAAUAUUUUUAAUGUCCCUUGACAUAUUGCUUUCAUAUUUUGCAUACUCCUUUACCAACAUGACCCCAACCUAUAAACAAGAGCACACAACUCUAUCAAGCAUUUUGUAAGAAUUAUGACACUUUUUUCACUUAGAAUAUGCAUAUUAUUGAUAAAUCUUUGUUAAAGUUUGCGUACCACCUCAAAUAUUUUCAAUGUCCCUUAACAUAUUGCUUUCAUAUUUUCCAAACUUCUUUAAACAUUGGACCUUAAAAUCUCCAGUAAAAAACAAGAAUACAAUUAAAAAAAGGAAAAAAAGUAAGCCUCAACUGGACUCGAACCACUGACCCCUGGAGUCCUGGAGUAAAAAGUCUCCCGCCUAGACCACUCGACCAUUCAUGCUCAUGCUAUGAGCAGAUGUAUUUUUUAAUGAAAUAAGCAAUCCUCUUAGUUUCUCAAACUAUAACGACAACAACAGAACUUUCCAAAUUAUUCAAUCGUUUCAUGUUGCAACGCUUUAUAAUUUCAAGGUUUUCAAAUCGU